CCCUUAGAUGUUCUGGGCUGCACGCGUGCUACACUGAUAUUGCCAAUAUGUCAUUCUUAUCCGAAAUGGAUUGGGUAAUCAAGUAAUGAAAUUUCAUGCUUGGAAUCGGUAAUUGCAAUUUUAUCGUGAACGAGGAAUUCCUAGUAAGCACUAGUCAUCAGCUAAUGUUGAUUAUGUCCCUACCCUUUGUACACACCGCCCGUCGCUACUACUGAUUGGGUGUUCAAGUGAGAUGCUUAGACCCUUGUUGCAUGGUUCAUUAUUGUGCUCCGAAAGGAAAAAGUUUCAAGCUUGAGUGUCUAGAGGAAGUAAAAGUCGUAACA
rnacentral:rRNA from 1 species